AGCAGCCGCGGUAAUACCAGCUCCACUGGCCUAUACAAUCAUUGUUGCGGUUAAGAGGCUCGUAGUUGGAUUGAACUGCAAUCUUAUUCUUGAAUGAAUAUAUUGCGCUAUAGUUUUUAUCGCACACACAUUUUCUUGUGUCCGUGCGUUCGACGCUGUUAACUCAGGUUUUCACGACGGCACCGUUGCAUAUAUAUGUUACUCACACACACACACUCGACGUAUAUAUUUAUGCUCGGCACACGUAAUACUAUACCACUCACAAUUUAUUCUCCUUUUCAACACUGUGAACAAAUCAGAGUGUAUCAAACAUGUCGUUUUUGAAUGUGCAUUGAAUGUCUUAUCAUGGGAUGUUGCACUUUCGCCAUUAGGAAAAAAUUUGCAUUGCGCUAUUUUUCUCUAUACACACACACUUACGACGUACAUGUCACUUUACGCACAGCCAUGUGUUAAAGCUGUUUUUUCUUAACGGUUAAAAAUGUCGAUGGGGAUAGUUGGAGUCAACAGUACUGCUGGGCGAGAGGUGAAAUUCAUUGACCCUAGCAAGACUACCAAAAGCGAAAGCAGUUGGCUAGGCUAUACUCUUUGUGAUUAUAUGCCAUACCCACAAUUUACACCGUGUAGCUUACACACACACACACACUCGGCGGCACAUGUAAUUUUUACGUAUCGGCACUAUAUACACUUUACAAUGAAGAACGAAAGUUGGGGGAUCAAAGAGGAUCAGAUACCCUCGUCGUCCCAUUAAUUACAUCAAACGAUGGGCUCUCAAUUGCAUUUUUCAUUAAAUUUGCAAAUUUCCUCAGCCUACAAAAUGACUUGGCUUUGAGCUCGUAUUUUUAAUACGCUCGCCUAAAUUUUUUUUCGUAUGGUCUCGAUGGACGUUUCAUUUAAAAUUUUUUUGCGUGUAAGCAUUUGUUAUUCUUUGAAACAUAAGAAUGCAUUGCGUGCACUUGAUUUUCGGAGCUUUGCGCUCAAUUCUGGUGAGAUGUAAGCACUAUGUCAUACUGCCCGCAGCGUAUAUCUUCGGGUAUUUCGUCUGUCGUGUGCAGUUGACAAUUUUGGUGUGAAGCACGCUUUAGGCACGCGCUUACUGCAGAAAUGUCUGAGACAUUCCCUUCCGGGGGAAGUAUGUACGCAAGUAUGAAACUUGAAGGAAUUGACGGAAGGGCACCACAAGAACGCGUGGAGCAUGUGGCUUAAUUUGACUCAACGCGGGAAAUCUUACCGGGUCCGGACACACUGAGGAUUGACAGGCAAUAUUAAUUUCUGCCAUUCGUGGCGUUUUUAUGUUAAAUAUGCUAGUCCUUUCAUGAUUAUGUGAUAGGUGGUGCAUGGCCGUUCUUAGUUCGUGGAGUGAUCUGUCUGCUUAAUUGCGUUUCACUAAGGGCCUAUAAUUUAACGUGUGUUGCGGCACUUUGACCCCUCCUCGGAGCGUGUGUCUUAGCUUGUUUAGCUCACACAAUUAGGUCCUGAAAGCAACGAACGUGACCGCAACCUCUUGUUGCCUUUAUACCAAACACGUUUUGUUUCUCUUCACAGAGCAUGCAUUUCGUGAAAAAAGGCUUUUUAAACUAGAGGGACCGCUGUUACUUUCUUAAACCAGAGGAAGGUUGCGGCAAUAACAGGUCU
rnacentral:rRNA from 1 species